rnacentral:rRNA from 1 species
CAGCAGCCGCGGGAAUACGUAGGGUGCGAGCGUUAAUCGGAAUUACUGGGCGUAAAGCGUGCGCAGGCGGUUGUGUAAGACAGGUGUGAAAUCCCCGGGCUUAACCUGGGAACUGCGCUUGUGACUGCACAGCUAGAGUAUGGCAGAGGGGGGUGGAAUUCCACGUGUAGCAGUGAAAUGCGUAGAGAUGUGGAGGAACACCGAUGGCGAAGGCAGCCCCCUAGGCCAAUACUGACGCUCAUGCACGAAAGCGUGGGGAACAAACAGGAUUAGAUACCCCGGUAGUCCCUGUCUCUUAUAC